AAACCUUAACCCUAGAUCGUGUUUUCUCCAGCCGCCGCCAUGAGAGCUCCUAGGCUGCCGCUUCCCAUCGAUUUGAGCUCCACCGUUCGCAUGUUGCCUCGCCGGUGUGAGCCACGACGACCCCCGCUACCGAAGAGCGAGUGUGAAGCCAAGUUCAGCCGCCAUUUCUUUCUCCUUCUUGUGCGUUUUCUGAUCAGAUUGACGCCGCCAACGACCACCUCGCCAUUAGAACGCUAUCCCGACACUGCCGCUGGUCGGAGACAUUGUUAAUAGCUUGAAGAGCCACCGAGAUCGGUGACAUUCGCCGUUUUUGCUACUGAGAGGGUUAUGCGUGACCUGAGGGUUCUCGGUAGGUAUCGUAACCUACCACUUCUUCCUUCCUCUCACCUGAUCGGUGAUGUAACUGCCACCGGUGGCCCUUGGCCUAUGAUCUCGUCAUUUCCCACGAUGUAGCCACCUGAAAGGUAGCUGGAUGUUUAUGGGUUCCAAUUUACAACCUGUUUAUUAUGGUCUUGAAGUUGUGGGUGUGAUAUAUGGCUGGGAUGUUUGGUAUAAACUAGUAUUUUCGUGGGUGUUGUAGAUGUUGUUUGAUGACCGGAAAAUGGAGGAAGAACCCACCAUGGCCGCCAGCCAUGGUGGCUGCCGCUAAGCUCAGCUAUCGGCCGCCAUCGUGUGUGUGUGUGAUUAGUUUCUGAGUGUGUGAUUAGUUUAGUAUGUGCGUGUGUAUAUGGUUAAUUGAGAUUAGCUUUGUAAAAUGUAACUUGAAUUUUGGAUUAAUGAAAAGAAUCAAAACCACCACCAUAAGGUGGUGGCCGCUGCCGUGAGCCGCCAUGGACCACCACUACCCGAGGUGGUAGUGGGUGAUGCCUCGCUAGCAAACCCUAAUGGGCUUAGAGAUUGGUUUUGGGCCUUUUGGGCCAUGUUUGGGUGGAAAACCCUAAUUGUGAGUUUUGGGCCUUUGACUAAUUAGGCCACUUAUGGGCCAUUAGGAUUGGAUUGUGAAUUAAGCCCAAACUAUUCCAUGCCAUUUAUCUAGUGGAUUAAAGGACUUAAUGGAUUAAGUCCUUAAUGGGCUAAUUGAGAAAAUACUAAUAUUUGAGAGAUUAUCAGCACACGCGGGAAUUAUUUAAUAAGUGAAUAUUAAAUAAUAAUCAUUGGCAUAAAUUAAUCUAAGCAAUAAUGGACUUAAUGGAUUAAGUCCUUAAUGGAUUAAGUCCCUAGUGUGUUAAGUCCUUAGUGGGUUAAGUAAGAAACACUUAAACCUAGUUAUCAUUUGAUGUGAAACCCUAAUUUCACUUGGGCUUUGUGUUGGGCCAUCUGAGAAUAAUCAAAUGGACUAGAGUAAUUAGUUGGGCUUUAGGGUAAGGCCUAUAUGAAGGAUUGGGCCUAAUUUGGAAAAUUGGGCCAUAGAUGGGCCAUAGUUGGGGCCUAGAUGGUUGUAUGAUAUUGGGCCUUAGAAUGAUACAUGUUGGACUGGACUGAUCAAUUGGGCCUUAAGGGAAGUCCAUGUAGAGGUUUGGGCCUAAUUUGGAAAAUUGGGCCAUAUGUUGGACUUUGAUCCCUAGUUGACUUUGGGCCUAUGUAUUGGGACUUGGGCUUGGGUAAGCCAAGCUAGGGGUAAUGUAGUAAUUAUCUAAAGCAUGUAUUUUUAGUUAUGUGUUAGAACCCAAUUAUUAAUUGGGUGUUAUUAGGUGUUGACAGUUCGGGAAUCUGUCAGCCAGCAGCUGGGGUGGAGUCUACGGGACUUCAGCAGUGUGGGAUUGUGUCUACAGGACUUCAGCAGUGUGAGGUACUCAGUUUUCAAAAGAGGAGCUCGAGAAGAUUGCAGUGCACACACCAUUUGUUUAGCCUGGGAUGUUUAUACUCUGAUAUACUUGACAAUUGUUAUGAUAUUUUGAGAUACAUUUCUUAUCAUUUUUAUAUGAGGUUUAUCGACUAUGGUUUUUAUUAUUAAAUUAAAUGAAAUUUCAGACUGUGUUUUUGGGAUGUUUCAA